rnacentral:rRNA from 1 species
CAAAAACAUCGCCUCCUGCAAAAAUCAAAGUAUAAGAGGUACUACCUGCCCAGUGACGUAAGUUAAACGGCCGCGGUAUUUUGACCGUGCUAAGGUAGCGCAAUCACUUGUCUUUUAAAUGAAGACCUGUAUGAAUGGUGGAACGAGGGCUUAACUGUCUCCCCUUUUAGGUCAGUGAAAUUGAUCUGCCCGUGCAGAAGCGGACAUAAAUAUACAAGACGAGAAGACCCUUUGGAGCUUAAGAUAUAAAGUCAAUUAAAUCAAAUAGUCCUUACAAACAGGAACCAAACAAACUAUACUUCUGACCCACAUCUUUGGUUGGGGCGACCGUGGGGUAAAAAAAAACCCCCACAUAGAAUGGGUUUUAACCUAAAACCACGAGAGACACCUCUAAGCAACAGAACUUCUGACUAAAAGAUCCGGUACUUAACCGAUCAACGGACCAAGUUACCCUAGGGAUAACAGCGCAAUCCCCUCCAAGAGCCCAUAUCGACAAGGGGGUUUACGACCUCGAUGUUGGAUCAGGACAUCCUAAUGGUGCAGCCGCUAUUAAGGGUUCGUUUGUUCAACGAUUAAAGUCCUACGUGAUCUGAG